rnacentral:rRNA from 1 species
AGAGUUUGAUCAUGGCUCAGAUUGAACGCUGGCGGCAUGCUUAAUACAUGCAAGUCGAACGGUAACAGAUUCUUCGGAGUGCUGACGAGUGGCGGACGGGUGAGUAAUACAUAGGAAUCUGCCCAUGUAGUGGGGGACAACUUGGGGAAACUCAAGCUAAUACCGCAUAAUUCCUACGGGAUAAAGAGGGCCACUGCUUGCAAGCUCUUGCUACUGGAUGAGCCUAUGUCGGAUUAGUUAGUUGGUAAGGUAAUGGCUUACCAAGACAGCGAUCCGUAGCUGGUUUGAGAGGAUGAUCAGCCACACUGGGACUGAGACACGGCCCAGACUCCUACGGGAGGCAGCAGUAGGGAGUAUUGGACAAUGGGCGCAAGCCUGAUCCAGCAAUGCCGCGUGUGUGAAGAAGGCCUGCGGGUUGUAAAGCACUUUCAAUUGGGAAGAAAGAUUAUGAGUUAAUACCUUAUAAUAUUGACGUACCAA